GAUGAACGCUGGCGGCGUGCUUAACACAUGCAAGUCGAACGAUUAAAGCCCCUUCGGGGGUGUAUAGAGUGGCGAACGGGUGAGUAACACGUGGGCAAUCUGCCCCUCACACUGGGAUAACUCGAGGAAACUCGUGCUAAUACCGGAUACUCCGGACUGACCACAUGGUCGGUUCGGGAAAGCUCCGGCGGUGAGGGAUGAGCCCGCGGCCCAUUAGCUAGUUGGUGAGGUAACGGCCCACCAAGGCAACGAUGGGUAGCCGCGCUGAGAGGCGGAUCGGCCACACUGGGACUGAGACACGGCCCAGACUCCUACGGGAGGCAGCAGUGGGGAAUUUUGCGGAAUGGGCGAAAGCCUGACGCAGCAACGCCGCGUGCGGGAUGAAGGCCUUCGGGUUGUAAACCGCUUUCAGCAGGGAUGAAAAUGACAGUACCUGCAGAAGAAGCCCCGGCUAACUACGUGCCAGCCGCCGCGGUAA
rnacentral:rRNA from 1 species